rnacentral:rRNA from 1 species
AUAGGUUAAUGAGGCGAACCGGGGGAACUGAAACAUCUAAGUACCCCGAGGAAAAGAAAUCAACCGAGAUUCCCCCAGUAGCGGCGAGCGAACGGGGAGGAGCCCAGAGCCUGAAUCAGUGUGUGUGUUAGUGGAAGCGUCUGGAAAGGCGCGCGAUACAGGGUGACAGCCCCGUACACAAAAAUGCACAUACUGUGAGCUCGAUGAGUAGGGCGGGACACGUGGUAUCCUGUCUGAAUAUGGGGGGACCAUCCUCCAAGGCUAAAUACUCCUGACUGACCGAUAGUGAACCAGUACCGUGAGGGAAAGGCGAAAAGAACCCCGGCGAGGGGAGUGAAAAAGAACCUGAAACCGUGUACGUACAAGCAGUGGGAGCCUCUUUUAUGGGGUGACUGCGUACCUUUUGUAUAAUGGGUCAGCGACUUAUAUUCUGUAGCAAGGUUAACCGAAUAGGGGAGCCGAAGGGAAACCGAGUCUUAACUGGGCGUUAAGUUGCAGGGUAUAGACCCGAAACCCGGUGAUCUAGCCAUGGGCAGGUUGAAGGUUGGGUAACACUAACUGGAGGACCGAACCGACUAAUGUUGAAAAAUUAGCGGAUGACUUGUGGCUGGGGGUGAAAGGCCAAUCAAACCGGGAGAUAGCUGGUUCUCCCCGAAAGCUAUUUAGGUAGCGCCUCGUGAAUUCAUCUCCGGGGGUAGAGCACUGUUUCGGCAAGGGGGUCAUCCCGACUUACCAACCCGAUGCAAACUGCGAAUACCGGAGAAUGUUAUCACGGGAGACACACGGCGGGUGCUAACGUCCGUCGUGAAGAGGGAAACAACCCAGACCGCCAGCUAAGGUCCCAAAGUCAUGGUUAAGUGGGAAACGAUGUGGGAAGGCCCAGACAGCCAGGAUGUUGGCUUAGAAGCAGCCAUCAUUUAAAGAAAGCGUAAUAGCUCACUGGUCGAGUCGGCCUGCGCGGAAGAUGUAACGGGGCUAAACCAUGCACCGAAG